GUGUGACGUCACGCGUGAUGUCACGUGUGACGUCAUGUGUGACGUCACGUGUGACGUCAUGUGUGACGUCACGUGUGACGUCAUGUGUGACGCCAUGUGUG
rnacentral:miRNA from 14 species